GGCCUGGUGGUGUAACGGUUAGCACACGUGAAUUACAUCAGUGAUUCCAUUGGCUCUUCACGAGUCCUUCGUUUGAUUCGGAGUCGGGCCU